rnacentral:tRNA from 1 species
GGAGAGGUGCCAGAGCGGCUGAAUGGGCUGGUUUCGAAAACCAGUGUGCGCGCAAGUGUACCGGGGGUUCGAAUCCCCCCCUCUCCGCCA